UCCCUCCCCCAUCCUGAUCUAGAACCCUAACUCGCCUCCCAACUCUCUAAGCACAGCGUGCUCCAUCGGCGGCAACGGAGGCUUCUUCUGCUCGGAUCGAGGCGCGGAGACCCAUGCUCCCCUAAUCUGGUGGGAUCCCCUCCUCCAGCAGGAUCUCCUCAUCUGGGACAGAGAGUGGAACACCACCUUCAGUUUCUCAUCUGAUCCCACCUGCUGGACUCCAUGAAUGAAGCCUGAUGAGUAUAAGAUGGCAUGAGAAAUUCAAGAGUUGAAUGAGAAGAGUGAAGAAGACUAGCAGCUCUAAGGAAUGCCUAUACGAACUCGCUAUGGCGAGGAUGACUCAAUGAAUGGACAUGUCGAUCAUGCUCAGAUCCCGGGUGGACUUCUCUCCAAUAGAGACUCCAGAUAGUAGCCAUGGUGGAUGGAUGAUAUGAGGUGAUCUGGGUGCUGCAUUCGAUGGCCAUGGUCUGUUUGCUGCAGGCCAACUCCCUGCUUUUGGCCUCUGAAGGUUGGGUAACUAUAACUGGACUGUAUCUGAAGACAUGGUCCAACACGUUUAGGCAUUUAUGAAUUCCAAAAUGUUUAUUGUUUGUUGAGCAUUGAAAUUUUUCUGUACAUAGUGCUUCAUGCCAAUAAGCGAUAAGGCAUCAUUUUUGCCAAUGUAUACAUAGAAAAGAAUGGAACUGUAGAUGUUUUUUGAAGGCAUCUAGCUACUUGGAUUGCGCAAAUCGACAAGUACUCCCACAGAUACAAUUAGAACUAGGUCUAUUCUUAAUUAAGCAGCGAGCUAGAUAACUUUUAAGAAUUUUCCCCACUUCAAAAUAAUAACCUUGAAGUUCAGAUCUUCUACUGAAACUCCUUUUCUAUCUAUGAACAUCAGGAGACAACCUCCAGUAAACCAUUCUAAUAGAAAUCUCAAUGUUCUUAGCCUGCAAGCUCUCAGUCAGCUAUAUUGUAUUCGCAACUCAGCGUAUUUUUUUCUGAAGUUUGGUGCCUAACUCCCAGACAUCUUUUCCCAAGGGUAAGCAUGUAGAUGUUGACAACUUGACAUGAAUUUUAUGCUUGAUUAUUUUUGUUAUGUUAAUAGCUCUCUACUCUGUUCUUAACUGGGUAUCCUUGCUCCUUGGUCCCCUGUCAAUUGUACAGAAGGUAAUUUAUCAGAAUCUUACAGCCUCUUAGCUGCAUCUGAGCCUCUGAGGUUCCUUAAUUUCACCACUGAACAUGAAGCCAGUCAAGUCUGAAGUCUGAUACGAUUGUCCAGUAAUGCGUAGACGAUUGCCGUAUGAAUUCAGAAUUGAGAAAAUGAUGCACUAUCAAUUAAAUCAUUAUAACCAGUGUCAAUUUAAACCGAUUAAUGUGCUUACUUCCAUGAUGCUAAAAUAUAUGCAAUCCCAAUGUUUUUUUAAAUUAAAUUAGCUAAUUGUUCUUAGUCUCUCUUUCAGAGACAACCCUUCUGAAUCACCUUUUAACAUUGCAACAUGAGAAGAGGAUUAAUGUUCGUUCAUCCUUUGUUGAAGACAUUGUGAUGGUGAAUACAGGUUUUUUAUGAUGCACUGUCCAAGGGGAGUCUUGUAAAGCUUCUGAAGUUGGUGAAGUUUGAUCACAUAUUUAUCGAGCCAGCAAGUAAAUCUCAUUAAUUAAUCUUAAGUUGUGUGAAGUUCUAAUGUCUAACAGACCCACUCACAGUAUAGGCCUUGCGAAGCUUGGUCUUGUUAUUAAAAUAUUUUGUUAUGAUGAAUGGGUCUGAAAGUAUGUGAAACUUGAUGCUGUGGUGCUGUGGUUGAUUGACUAGCAGGCCAUGAAACAUUUGAUGAAAGGAAGGUGGGUUGUCAAUGAAGCAGUAGAGCAAGUUGCUUAUGCAGACAAGAUUAUUUUGAACAAGCUAUUUAGUCGGUCUAUAGAACUAUAUACAAGGAUCUGGUGCCAAAAAAGUUUUAUCAGGCAUGAAAGUGGUGGGUGCUAGCAAGGAGUUGAUGGGUUUAGCAGGACUUCCUUGCAAGAGCAGCAGAGCUGAGGCUGCAACUGGCCAAUAUGAACAGUAUUCAAGCAGGACGCGUUCAUGCAGUUGAGUUAUGUACAUUCAUAGAGGUGCUACUGACAAGCCUGGAUUUGAUUGGAGAAUCAUCCACUAGGAACAGUGUGCGGUCACAACAAUUGUGGACCAGGAAUGCAAGCCGGAUCCCCUCCGCAUGGGCUGUUGUUGCAAGGUCACGGUGCUGCACCUCAACUAAUUCAGUAGGAUCAUCGCUACUUCAUCUGUUCGUUCUCAUCUAACUAAUAUAUUUAAUAUCUAUUUGUAUUUUUGGCUAAUUCUUAUUUUAAUCUUUUGUGGCUUUGCGGUGAAGGCAAAAUGAAUUUAAAAGAGUUCAAUUUAGAGUUAGUGUAGUGCCUUCCCGGCAAGAAGAGAAAAUAUAUAAUUAGUGCAGUGUUUCACACCUACUGGACUCAGUCUAUUAUGAUAUACAUGUAUGUUGCAGAGAAAUGGUCACAUGGAUGAUUAGCAUCUUUUGGCAAAGGUGAAUAAAUACUACUGCACCUA